GAGCAUACUCGCCUCGGCGGUUCAUAUACUAAAAUUGGAACGAUACAGAGAAGAUUAGCAUGGCCCCUGCGCAAGAAUGACACUCAAAUCGUGAAGCGCCGGCACGGUAA